rnacentral:rRNA from 1 species
UGGGGAAUAUUGGACAAUGGGCGAAAGCCUGAUCCAGCCAUGCCGCGUGUGUGAAGAAGGUCUUCGGAUUGUAAAGCACUUUAAGUUGGGAGGAAGGGCAUUAACCUAAUACGUUGGUGUCUUGACGUUACCGACAGAAUAAGCACCGGCUAACUCUGUGCCAGCAGCCGCGGUAAUACAGAGGGUGCAAGCGUUAAUCGGAAUUACUGGGCGUAAAGCGCGCGUAGGUGGUUUGUUAAGUUGGAUGUGAAAUCCCCGGGCUCAACCUGGGAACUGCAUUCAAAACUGACAAGCUAGAGUAUGGUAGAGGGUGGUGGAAUUUCCUGUGUAGCGGUGAAAUGCGUAGAUAUAGGAAGGAACACCAGUGGCGAAGGCGACCACCUGGACUGAUACUGACACUGAGGUGCGAAAGCGUGGGGAGCAAACA